GGCACAACAUCGUGAAUGUACUUAAUGCCACUGAACUAUACACUUAACAUAGUUAAAAUGAUUAACUUCAUGCUAUGUAUAUUUUACCAGAGUUAAAAAAAAUUUUUUUUCUUCAUCUAUUGAAAUUUUCUUCAUGUAUUUGAUAAAAGUAUCUAAAGAAAUAGCCACCUUUUAAAUUAAGCUUUCCAUAGUAGCAAAAUCAGGGGAAGUGUAGAUACAGCACUCAGUUUGAUUCAGCACAAGUCCCCAACAUGAUCAAAAUGAUGUAAAGCUGCAUGAGGCUGGUCUCGAACUCCUGACCUCAAGUGAUCUGCCCACCUCAGCUUCCAAAAGUGCUGGGAUUGCAGGCGUGAGCCACUGCACCCAGCCCAAUUUCAGUUUCAAAAUGCCAUUUGUCCUUUUGACCUUUCCAG
ensembl:lncRNA novel transcript, sense intronic to SCGB2B2